rnacentral:rRNA from 1 species
GACGAACGCUGGCGGCGUGCUUAACACAUGCAAGUCGAGCGGUAAGGCCCUUUCGGGGGUACACGAGCGGCGAACGGGUGAGUAACACGUGGGUGACCUGCCCUCAGCUCUGGGAUAAGCCCGGGAAACUGGGUCUAAUACCGGAUAUGACUCCAUGACGCAUGUUGUGGGGUGGAAANCCUUGUGCGGCUGAGGAUGGGCCCGCGGCCUAUCAGCUUGUUGGUGGGGUGAUGGCCACCAAGGCGACGACGGUAGCCGGCCUGAGAGGGCGACCGGCCACACUGGGACUGAGAUACGGCCCAGACUCCUACGGGAGGCAGCAGUGGGGAAGUCUUGCGCAAUGGGCGGAAAGCCUGACGCAGCGACGCCGCGUGAGGGAUGACGGCCUC